GACGAACGCUGGCGGCGUGCUUAACACAUGCAAGUCGAACGGAAAGGCCCUGCUUUUGUGGGGUGCUCGAGUGGCGAAAGGGUGAGUAACACGUGAGUAACCUGCCCUUGACUUUGGGAUAACUUCAGGAAACUGGGGCUAAUAACGGAUAGGAGCUCCUGCUGCAUGGUGGGGGUUGGAAAGUUUCGGCGGUUGGGGAUGGACUCGCGGGUUAUCAGCUUGUUGGUGGGGUAGUGGCUUACCAAGGCUUUGACGGGUAGCCGGCCUGAGCGGGUGACCGGCCACAUUGGGACUGAGAUACGGCGCAGACUCCUACGGGAGGCAGCAGUGGGGAAUAUUGCACAAUGGGCGGAAGCCUGAUGCAGCAACGCCGCGUGCGGGAUGACGGCCUUCGGGUUGUAAACCGCUUUCGCCUGUGACGAAGCGUGAGUGACGGUAAUGGGUAAAGAAGCACCGGCUAACUACGUG
rnacentral:rRNA from 1 species